rnacentral:rRNA from 1 species
GUCCACGCCCUAACGAUGUCAACUGGUUGUUGGGUCUUCACUGACUCAGUAACGAAGCUAACGCGUGAAGUUGACCGCCUGGGGAGUACGGCCGCAAGGUUGAAACUCAAAGGAAUUGACGGGGACCCGGCACAAGCGGUGGAUGAUGUGGUUUAAUUCGAUGCAACGCGAAAACCUUAACCAACCUUUGACAUGUACGGAAGUCGCUAGAGAUAGCUUCGUGAUCGAAAGAGAGCCGUAACACAGGUGCUGCAUGGCUGUCGU